CGCUCUUCGGCGGCUGCUCCAAUCGAACCGCCGCGGACAGCACCCGGGGGCAGGCAGAGCGCGGCAUGGGUGGUAGGCUGGCGGAGACAGAGUAAUUGAGCCUGUGACGAAGCAUUCCAUUCCUUUGGCAGAAUUGUCCUUAUUAGAGGAAGAAAUCAUCUGGAGACCACAGGGACACAUUCCAGGAGGGAGAAUUUGUUUCAACAAUGAACAAGCAAAGUGUGAAUGAAUGGAUUACAGUAGGAUACUUAUCAACUGAAACAAAAGAGAGGUAAUGCUGAUAUAUAAACUAAUGCUACUGUGUUAGAAAAGGUAUGUACAUCGGUAUUCCAUCGGACCCGGGCACCUAGAGAUACUGAGACCUCUUCAUUUCCAUUUUUGUGGGAUUCGCUGGACAAUUCCGCCUCAGUCUCCUCCAGUGCUUGCUAGACCAAUAUGUUGUGUUACUGUAUUCCUGUGUCCAAGAUUUUGCCACUGAAUACUCCAGGUUCUACCCAUUUUAUACAUUCCUCGAUGAAGUCUACUAUGAGUUUUUUCUGCCCUCUUUUUAAAAUUAUCUCAGGAAUUUUCUUAUUUUACAUCGUUGUUCCAUCAACAUAAAUCUUGUAUGGGAGAGUAGGAUGUCUAGAUCUAGAAAAACCUUUCCUCUUUGGUUGUUUUUAUUAUGUUUUUUACUUUAUUUUCUUCAAUUCCCAAACCUCCAAAGCCAGGAAGCCAGAAAGUUUCAGAAGAAAGCCAGG